rnacentral:tRNA from 1 species
AAGACUUUAAGUUAAAGCUAAACUAAUAUCUUUCAAAGGUAUAAAUAUAAAGGAGAGUAAGUCUUA